GAUGAACGCUGGCGGCGUGCCUAAUACAUGCAAGUCGAGCGAAAAGACGAGGAGCUUGCUCCUCUGACGUUAGCGGCGGACGGGUGAGUAACACGUGGAUAACCUCCCUAUAAUACUGGUAUAACUUCGGGAAACGGGAGCUAAUAGCGGAUAAUAUCUUGAACCACAUGGUUCAUUGGUGAAAGACGGUUUUGGGGUCACUUAUAGAUGGAUACGCGCCUCAUUGGCUAGUUGGUAGGUUAACAGCUUACCGAGGCAACGAUGCCUAACCGAGCUGUGAGCGGGUACCGCCACUCGGGAGGUGAGACGCGACCCAGACACUGACGUGAGGCAGCAGCAGCUACGCUUCGCCAAAGGGCGAAAGCCUGACGGAUCAACGCCGCGUGAGUGCUGAAGGUCCGCGGAUCGGAAAACUCUGUUAUGGGUGAAGAACAAAUGUGUAAGUAACUAUGCACGUCUGAACGUAACCUAAACAGAAAGCCACGCCUAAUUACUU
rnacentral:rRNA from 1 species